rnacentral:rRNA from 1 species
UACGAAGGGAGCUAGCGUUGUUCGGAAUCACUGGGCGUAAAGCGUGCGCAGGCGGCUCUGCAAGACAGAUGUGAAAUCCCCGGGCUCAACCUGGGAACUGCAUUUGUGACUGCAGGGCUAGAGUACGGUAGAGGGGGAUGGAAUUCCGCGUGUAGCAGUGAAAUGCGUAGAUAUGCGGAGGAACACCGAUGGCGAAGGCAAUCCCCUGGACCUGUACUGACGCUCAUGCACGAAAGCGUGGGGAGCAAACAGG